GACGAACGCUGGCGGCGUGCUUAACACAUGCAAGUCGAACGGUGAAGCCCUUCGGGGUGGAUCAGUGGCGAACGGGUGAGUAACACGUGAGCAACCUGCCCCUGGCCCUGGGACAACCACUGGAAACGGUGGCUAAUACCGGAUACGACCCGCCUCGGCAUCGAGUGUGGGUGGAAAGUUUUUCGGCUGGGGAUGGGCUCGCGGCCUAUCAGCUUGUUGGUGAGGUGAAGGCUCACCAAGGCGACGACGGGUAGCCGGCCUGAGAGGGCGACCGGCCACACUGGGACUGAGACACGGCCCAGACUCCUACGGGAGGCAGCAGUGGGGAAUAUUGCACAAUGGGCGAAAGCCUGAUGCAGCGACGCCGCGUGAGGGAUGACGGCCUUCGGGUUGUAAACCUCUUUCAGCUCCGAAGAAGCGAAAGUGACGGUAGGAGCAGAAGAAGCACCGGCUAACUACGUG
rnacentral:rRNA from 1 species